CGCCUGUUUAUCAAAAACAUCUCUUCUCGUUAGUUUUUGAAGUAUGGCCUGCCCACUGACCUUGAAUGUUGAAGGGCCGCGGUAUUUUGACCGUGCAAAGGUAGCAUAGUCAUUAGUUCUUUAAUUGUGAUCUGGUAUGAAUGGCUUGACGAGGCAUAAGCUGUCUUAAUUUUGAAUUGUUUAUUGAAUUUGGUCUUUGAGUUAAAAUUCUUAGAUGUUUUUAUGGGACGAGAAGACCCUAUAGAGUUUGACAUUUAUUCACGGUCUCUUUCAGUUUGUGAGGGUUCACUAGGGCUGUUUAAUAUGUUUUGUUGGGGUGAUGGGAGGGAUAUUAUUUAACCCCUCCUUUGUGUUGUUAUAUUUAUUUAUAUUUGCUUGAUCCAUUUAUUUUGAUUGUAAGAUUAAAUUACCUUAGGGAUAACAGCGUAA
rnacentral:rRNA from 1 species